rnacentral:rRNA from 2 species
AAAACGACUCUCGGCAACGGAUAUCUCGGCUCUCGCAUCGAUGAAGAACGUAGCGAAAUGCGAUACUUGGUGUGAAUUGCAGAAUCCCGCGAACCAUCGAGUCUUUGAACGCAAGUUGCGCCCGAAGCCAUUCGGCCGAGGGCACGUCUGCCUGGGCGUCAC